rnacentral:rRNA from 1 species
CAUGUCUUUUUGAAAAUAAUUUAAAGUCCGACCUGCCCAUUGAUUUAAUUUAACGGCCGCAGUAUUUUAACUGUGCAAAGGUAGCAUAAUCAUUAGUUUUUUAAUUGAAAGCUAGAAUGAAUGGUUAGACGAAGUAAAAACUGUCUUAAUUUAAAUUUUAUAAAAAUUUAUUUUUAAGUUAAAAAGCUUAAAUAAAUUUAAAAGACGAGAAGACCCUUUAGAGCUUUAUAAAAUUAUUUAUAUUGAUUAUUUAUUAACAAUUAUUUAAUAUGUAUAAUUUUAUUUUAUUGGGGUUAUAGCUAGAUUUAAAAAAUUCUAAUUAGUUUAAAUUCAUUGAUUUAUGUGCAAAUGAUCCAGUUUUAUUGAUUAAAAGAUUAAGUUACCUAAGGGAUAACAGCGUAAUUUUUUUGAAGAGUUCUUAUCAAUAAAAAAGAUUACGACCUCGAUGUUGGAUUAAAGAAAUUUUUAGGCGGAGAAGUUUAAAUUAAUAGGUCUGUUCGACCUUUAAAUCUUUACAUGAUCUGAGU